rnacentral:rRNA from 1 species
UGGGGAAUAUUGCACAAUGGAGGGAACUCUGAUGCAGCGACGCCGCGUGAACGAAGAAGGCUUUCGAGUCGUAAAGUUCUUUUAUAUGGGAAGAUAUGACGGUACCAUAAGAAAAAGCCCCGGCUAACUACGUGCCAGCAGCCGCGGUAAUACGUAGGGGGCUAGCGUUGUCCGGAAUCACUGGGCGUAAAGGGUUCGCAGGCGGAAAUGCAAGUCAGGUGUAAAAGGCAGUAGCUUAACUACUGUAAGCAUUUGAAACUGCAUAUCUUGAGAGGAGUAGAGGUAAGUGGAAUUUUUAGUGUAGCGGUGAAAUGCGUAGAUAUUAAAAAGUAUACCGGUGGCGAAGGCGACUUACUGGGCUCAUUCUGACGCUGAGGAACGAAAGCGUGGGUAGCAAACCGG